CAUGCUGUCGAGCGUCAUAUCACCUCAAGCUGCUUGUCAUGAACUCGUCGUGAAGACGGGNCCGAAAGAUAACGACGGAGUCGUGUCCGACCCUAGAUGCAAUGAGCUUUUUAGCACGCAUCAUGGUGGUCGGCCGGCCUGGUCUUAACCCUUUAUUCUCAAGGUUGACCUCGGAUCAGGUAGGAAUACCCGCUGAACUUAAGCAUAUCAAUAAGCGGAGGAAAAGAAACCAACAGGGAUUACCUCAGUAACGGCGAGUGAAGCGGUAACAGCUCAAAUUUGAAAUCUGGCCUUCACGGGUCCGAGUUGUAAUUUGUAGAGGAUGUUUCGAGCAAGGUGGCGGUUUAAAUUUCUUGGAACAGAAUGUCAUAGAGGGUGAGAAUCCCGUCUUGAACCGUCGUCCGCGUCCAUGUGAAACUCCUUCGACGAGUCGAGUUGUUUGGGAAUGCAGCUCAAAAUGGGUGGUAAAUUUCAUCUAAAGCUAAAUAUUGGCCAGAGACCGAUAGCGCACAAGUAGAGUGAUCGAAAGAUGAAAAGCACUUUGAAAAGAGAGUUAAACAGUAUGUGAAAUUGUUGAAAGGGAAGCGCUUGCAACCAGACUUGUGUGUAACGGUUCCCCCAGUCUUUUGACUGGACUAUUCCAUUAUAUCCAGGCCAGCAUCGGUUUGGGUGGUUGGUUAAAGAUCCUGGGAAUGUAUCUACCUUCGGGUCGACUUAUAGCCCAGGAUGCAAUGCAGCCCACCCGGACCGAGGCACGCGCACCUGCUCGGAUGCUGGCGUAAUGGUUGUAAGCGACC
rnacentral:rRNA from 1 species